rnacentral:rRNA from 1 species
UACGAGGGGGGCGAGCGUUGUUCGGAAUUACUGGGCGUAAAGCGUGCGUAGGCGGUUUGUUAAGUCUGCUGUGAAAUCCCCGGGCUCAACCUGGGAAUGGCAGUGGAUACUGGCAAGCUAGAGUGUGUCAGAGGAUGGUGGAAUUCCCGGUGUAGCGGUGAAAUGCGUAGAGAUCGGGAGGAACAUCAGUGGCGAAGGCGGCCAUCUGGGACAACACUGACGCUGAGGCAC